rnacentral:rRNA from 1 species
UACGUAGGGUGCGAGCGUUGUCCGGAAUUAUUGGGCGUAAAGAGCUUGUAGGCGGCUCGUCACGUCGGGUGUGAAAACUCGCGGCUCAACCGCGAGCCUGCACCCGAUACGGGCGGGCUGGAGUUCGGCAGGGGAGACUGGAAUUCCUGGUGUAGCGGUGGAAUGCGCAGAUAUCAGGAGGAACACCGGUGGCGAAGGCGGGUCUCUGGGCCGAUACUGACGCUGAGAAGCGAAAGCGUGGGGAGCGAACAGG